UGCCCUGCUGGUGGAAUUGGCAGACACACCGGACUCAAAAUCCGCAGCCUUCGGGCAUGCGGGUUCAACUCCCGCGCAGGGUACCAU
rnacentral:tRNA from 1 species